rfam:Bombyx mori DNA, contig: Bm_scaf45_contig24723, strain: p50T/Dazao, build 2, whole genome shotgun sequence.
UUAACUCAAAUUUGUAUGGAGUUGGAACGUUUGCCUACGUUUACCGCUAGGGCACUGUUCCAACUGCAUACAAAUUUUAGUUA